rnacentral:rRNA from 1 species
CAGCAGUGGGGGAAUAUUGCACAAUGGGCGCAAGCCUGAUGCAGCCAUGCCGCGUGUAUGAAGAAGGCCUUCGGGUUGUAAAGUACUUUCAGCAGUGAGGAAGGCGGAGUCGUUAAUAGCGGCCUCGUUUGACGUUAGCUGCAGAAGAAGCACCGGCUAACUCCGUGCCAGCAGCCGCGGUAAUACGGAGGGUGCGAGCGUUAAUCGGAAUUACUGGGCGUAAAGCGCAUGCAGGUGGUUCGUUAAGUCAGAUGUGAAAGCCCGGGGCUCAACCUCGGAAUUGCAUUUGAAACUGGCAGACUAGAGUACUGUAGAGGGGGUAGAAUUUCAGGUGUAGCGGUGAAAUGCGUAGAGAUCUGAAGGAAUACCGGUGGCGAAGGCGGCCCCCUCGGACAGAUACUGACACUCAGAUGCGAAAGCGUGGGGAGCAAACAGGAUUAGAUACCCUGGUAG